UACGGAGGGAGCUAGCGUUGUUCGGAAAUACUGGGCGUAAAGCGCACGUAGGCGGCGCAGCAAGUCAGGGGUGAAAUCCCGGGGCUCAACCCCGGAACUGCCCUUGAAACUGCAGUGCUAGAAUCUUGGAGAGGCGAGUGGAAUUCCGAGUGUAGAGGUGAAAUUCGUAGAUAUUCGGAAGAACACCAGUGGCGAAGGCGACUCGCUGGACAAGUAUUGACGCUGAGGUGCGAAAGCGUGGGGAGCAAGCCGG
rnacentral:rRNA from 1 species